AGUUUGCUGGCUUUGGCGGCGUCCACAGAAUCUGCAAAGGAAAGAGAGAGAGAGCGAGCCGUGAGCUUUGGCCCAAAGGAUGCCUCUGGCCCGGCCCGCGCGCUAAGCAUCUCUGCGGUCCAGCAGCGCCGAGGCACAGCGCAAGGACCGUUUACGCGCGUUCCGAGGGAAGCGAGCGUGAAGCAGGGACCAGGAUGAACCAGGAAAAGUGGUACAAGGGGGUACAGGUUUGGAGGAACAGGGACCCCGUUAUUAGACCCGCCAGCGCUGUUUGAGAAAGCCAAACGUUCAGGCGCGCGCGUCAGAACGAGGUCAGGCUACGCUGCCUUUCUUGAGUUAAAUUACUGCAAUUCGGAGAAGGCUGAGUCACCUCAGAGCACUCUGUUGGAAAUGCAGGGCAGUCUAGCGGUCCAUACGACUACGUCUCAUCAGCUGCGUUCCAGGUGAGAACCCAACGUGAGUAUCAACAGAAAUACAGGUCCAGAGACCAUUUAUUUACCUCACACAGCAAAAUAAAAGGUUUCCACCCCGGUCCGUACGUGGUGAGGGAUCUGACCACGCACGAGGCAGCUGUGGCCCUGCUCCCUCCGCUCUGCACCUCAGCCCAGGGAACCGUGGGUGUCCCUUCCCGAGCGGGGGGACGCCCCCAGCCCUGGCCGGUCCCGGGCUCAGAAAACAAACCUCCUGCAGCCGGCGUCGCAGCCCCGGUCCCUAAACCCGUGGGGUGCCGGCUCAUUACGGGGCACUCCCAUUUCACCAUGCUAACGCACCCCGUUACAGAGCCUGGCCGUUGCUCCGGCAGGAUGUCAGACGCCAGCAUGGGAUUAAACCCCAGCACUCUCACACACGCCCUCCCCCAAAUUCAGGAUUCUUCCCUUGUUCCCUGGGUUAUCGGUGCGCACAGUCAAACAGCGCCACGUGCACAAGUGUGCAGGAACCAGAUGGCUUUAUUUAUUUAUGGCCAAACCAACCAGGUUUGACUAAAUUACACCCUCUGCUCCAUUUCUGGAUGUCUGGGGGUUCCAGGAGCAGCUCAGAGCCAUGGGGGCUGCUUGUCCCCCUCCUCUCCCAGCUGCAAUUCCACCAGGGUUUAAUAUUUCCAACUGUGGCACUGAUCACCUCACCAGUACCCACUGCAGAAGCGUCUCAUAAAUAAAAGACAGGAGCCGCCUCCACUGCGUACCUCACACCUCUGCUGGGCUGGAUCUACGGGAAGAGCAAACUGCAUCGCCCACCGCAGUCAGACUGCAGCAGCUCGCGCUGCCGUUUCCAUGGAAACUCCCUGGAAGCAGCCACAUCCCAGCGCCUGCAUCCAAGGAGCAUCCCGGCCAAUGCCAAACGUAUCCAAGGAGCAUCCGAGGAGCAUCCCCCAACACGUGCCUGGGGACCCGAGGGGGCUGGACGGUUCCGGCCCCUUCGCUCACCAGUUCAACCACCAAGGACCAACUCCAGCUCGGGUGUGCGUCCCACCCCACAGGGAACGCCCCCUCCCACGGUACAGGCGUCACUUCGUGGCACUUGAGGGCAGCCGCGCUGCUGCCUGCAGACAGCAGUGGAAAACGCUGCUGACACCCAUCCUGCACGCCCAAACCUGAGCUAAACGCGCCCGUUUCCCCUCCCGCGUGGCAUUCUCGGGCUCCUGCCCCAAAACGGGCUCUGAGCAAAGGCGGAGGAAGCAACGCUGCUGCUGUGCACCCGGAGGGGUAACCUGCACUGCUUGGGUUCUGUUCAUUUCUGUGGUGGAAGAACCAGCGGCUGGGGAAAAGGGGCCAGAGCAUCACCACAGAAGUCCAGUGAACGCUGCUGGGCAGCGACAACAAACCUCGGUGCGUACCAAGAAAGGAGAGAGGGUGCUGAGCACGCCUCAGCGGUGCGCUGCGGGGAUGCAGCCGUACGCCCCUGGGUGCCACAGUCACUGCUGGCCGCCCCAGACAAAGUUCUAGAAGAACCAGACAACUCCGCAGCAGACAGCGGAGACGAGAGCUUCGGCAAGACUUCCAGAUAACGAGAGGGGAGAUGGCACAGGGUUUAAAGAUUCGUCGUAUGGACACACACAGAUGUAGUGAAAUUAAAAGGCAGCAACGUUUGCUGAAGAGCCGUGCUAAACCCGGGGGUUUGGGUUGUUUUGCUUUUCCCAAGUAACCAACUUUUUUACCCUGUAUUAUGUAGUUAACGUAUUUCUGGUCUCUACGUUCCCGUCUGCCAGCUCAAGGAGCAUCAGCUGCUACUGAAUUCUCAGGGCUUUAAGCAAGGGUGUAAAGAGCACUUCUCUCCCUAGCUCCUUGUAACUGAGGGAUGAGGAAAACGACAGCAGACUCCCAGUGCUGGAAGGCUCGUGGCUUUUGCACGGGUUCAGCACUCAAAGGGGCGACGUCCACCGACACGCACUCAGGAAGCUCAGACCUACAGCAGCAUCAGGGGAAAAAAACGCCUGCACGGCUCCACACGAGCCCCUUACCCCGAAGGAGUACAGAACUGUAACAAGGAAACCUGAAUUUUCAAGCUGGGAAGCCCGAAUUGAGAAAGAGCUAAAAGAUCAAACAAACAUUAAGGAAUAUUUUCACUAUUAACAUCAAGUACGUCCAAAGAACAGGCUGAGGCUGCUCGGGAAAGGCUGGGCUUUCCAGCACUCCGGAAAAGAAACACUCGGACUAGUACACUAAGCAGAAAGUUUCCAUUUCUUUGCAUUAACCCCCCCAGCCCUAAAUUAACACUGGCUUGCUUUAAACGUUUCUCUGUUCAGCUGCAGAUGCUAAUUGCAGGAUCCAAGAUGAAUUCACGUGGCUGGGCUGUACCACAGCCAAGCUCUCCGCAGCGGCAGCGAGCUGCCGGAGCCCGGAGCUCCCUGCGGAAGGCGAAGGCAGAAUGCCAAGAGGCCUGAAUGCCGAGUCACAUUUCCAUUCCGCUCAUGGGAGGGACAAAAUUAACGCCUCAUGGGAACACCCCGCUUCUCGGACUAAUCAUCACCCUCCCCUUCUGAGGCCUUUGGGCACGUUCUGUGCAGCUGCAGGGUAGAUUUCAUUCUGCCAGGUAAAGGGGAAUUUUAGUUUCUACUGGCCGGGAGAGGGAAAAAACCACCACAAAGCACCCAAGCCCAUUCUGCAGCGUUAGGCGUGGUUCAACAAAGGCUUCACGCACAAGGAAUCCCCUGCUUGGCACGCGUCGCCCACGGACCGUCCAGGACGGGAAGCUAUCGGAGCUUUUUCCGCUAGCCCCUGGGAUCCCCAAGUGCCCCACUAAACACAACCAGACCUCGAAGGGAGGCGAGCCUGUCAAAGCACCAAGCAACGCGAGCUGUUAGAGCCGCCUGAGGAUGGGAAAGUGGAAGGAACGCCCAACACCAAGCGGAAAGCGGUCGCUGCCAACAAGGUGGGAACAGCCUGGAGUGGCCAGUCACCUGUAAGCUGCGCAGCCUCGCAGCCCAUCAAGUCUUCUUUCCACGUGCCCACCCCGCCAGGAAGGACUUCCCAUCCGCUUCCCACCAGACUUUCCUGGGAAUAGAGAACAUUCACGGAGGGAGUAAAGACGGGCAAAACUGAGGACUGGAGAGCCCAGAACACCUCUAACACUUUCCUGAGCACUCUCCACAGCAAGCAGCUCGUGACCGGACGGUGACUGUAAGAAGGAAAGCUGCUUUUCUCUGAAGCAGAGCAGCGGCAGUGACUCAAUGUGACGCAGCCACGGGGGUUCUUUUAAUCUGAAAGCUGCCCGGCUCCCUGGGGUACCCCAGGACGCAGAGGCAGGAACACUUCCAGAAAACAAGGCUGGAAAGGAUUAGAUCACUUCUUUAGAACCAUCCCUUCACCUUAGAAGAUCAACACUACCCGGACUGUUCCUGACAGGUAUUUGCCCUCUCCGUUCCGUGACAACCUUCAGUCUGGGAGUUGGGUUUAAAAAUAAAAAUAAUCUGUAAACCUGCCAGUCACAGUUUCUAUUUGGGGAAGAUGCCCAAGUUCCAAGAAUGUGUUCCUACAUUAAGAGGAGCAAGGAGACUGAGCGAAAUUAUGCCAUGGAAAUCAUGACAACCGCACCAACGGAAAGGGAGGACAAGGCAAGUGCCCCUGGUCCUGCUGGGAGCGCGUAUCUGACAUGGCCAAUCCUCGGAGAGACUUGGCAACGCACGGAUUUCCACAGCAGCAUGACAAAACCAGACCUGAGGACUCCAGAAAUGCGAUCCCUGGGAAUCUGCUGCACCAGGUGAUGCACGGGAGUUAAUCCAAACCAAGGGUGGGAUUUUGAGGGGUCUUGGGGUUCCCCGGCAGGUACGACUCGGGUGGCAACACCAGUCUGGCUGGGAGAUGGCUAACACCACAGCGGCGGCAGGAACCCAAACAGGGCUUGCUUUGGGCUCAGACCAGAGAAGUGCAACAACACACAAGAUGUGCUGCAGCAGCAGAUUUAAGCUGAUGAGCUCCUCUGCCAAGCAGGAGCAGAAAAGCAGCUCCACUUGAUGUCAAAAUCAAGGAUAGUGUUUCCACACACCAUAAUACUCAUGUUCAAAAUUACUACCCCAAAUAGAAGUCCCAGGCAGGGAAAACAUCAAGGUUGCCAAAAGAUAAAGAGCAAACACUCGGUCGGAAAUGCCUGCCUGUGUUGACACAUCUGCUCCAAACUGUGCUCCAGCCCUCUGGAAGCCAGGCGGGGAGGGGGUGGGCAGCAGCAGAGACAGCAGCCCCCCCGCAGCAUCCACCCUCCGCACGGCGAGCCGAAACACCCCCAGCUCAGUCCUGCAGCAGCGAGUGCCGAGCUCCAUUGCCCUGCAGGCACCUUCCCUGCCCUCCGGCAGGCCAGGACACGGAGGCGGCUGCUCCCAGGGGACAGCGACACGGCUACGGGGCGGCCAGGAGACGUUAAGGUCCCUGGAGCUACCGCGCUCAGAGUCUCCAUCGCCACGCUCUCUACUGGCUCCCCGGUAGAGACACCCACCCUGCUCCCCCACGGGAUGCGGCCUCGAGUACAGGCGUUAACAGUGAGAAAGGGUUUGGUGGUUAUUUCGGGGAUUUUGGCUCCCUACCUCCCUCUGAGCGAGGCGUUGCGGGGACACACGGCAGCAAUAACCUGAGUGCUCUGGAGCGCGUGUAGUGCUUCCCCAGGAGAUGAGUGCUUCGUUAUAGGUAAAGCACAGCAUCGAAUCCCUCUGCGGGAUCUACUCGGUGAUUGCACGAAACAGAAAAAGAAUUUACCUAAAAUCUUUGAAAUUUUCUCACUGGUACAUUUUUAAAGCUGAAACUCCACAAUAAAUUAAAAGGCUAAGAAUACUGCUAGGCUUUACUGGUGCUGGUAUUACUGGCGCUCAUUUUUUAUGACAUCUUUUUAAGUGGAGGGGAGAAGAGAACGUUACUUAAUCUUGGAAAUUCUUAAAAACAUCUCGUUUAACAAGGUGUGCUUGUAUUGAUGCUGGUGAGAAAAAAAAAACAAACCAACAAAACAAACCAUUCCUCAUUUACAAAUCUUUUCCCCCGAGAAAGAUGAUUUACUCUUGACAUUCAGUGGUCUGACACCGUGUGUAACCACAGGAAAGCCACCCGCGAUGCUGGGGAGACCUGGAAAUGAGAUAUGGGAGGCAGCAGCAGACAGAUUUACAGCGGAGAGCACAGAGCCGAAAGGGAAUCCUGCCAUCGCCCAUUUAUAUCUUAAACCCUGUCCUGGAAAAAUGAAUGCCCAAACCGUGAAGGCCACUCCGGUGACUGGCCGCCCACACCCCGGGCAGCUUCUCCAUCGCCUCACCGGUCUGGUUUGGUGCAGGCUGACUCGGCGGCUGGCCGAGCCCCGAGCAGGAAACCCCCGGGAGGCUGCGCUCUGCCGUAGGAGCUUGAGAAAGCAGCCGGGGAGCACAGAGCCACGGCCCUGUGCCUAUUCGGCGGCUGCUGCACGAGGCAGGCAUGGGAAUUGCCGAGAUUUGCGAUCCAUGCUGGAUGUGCUCCUCAAAGAUCGCGCUCCCUGUGCUCACCACGUUCACCUUUCCAUGCACGUCAUAGUUUCAGAGGGACGGUCGCUGCUACUGGCACUGGUGCAUCUUCUCCACACAUGCAUGGAGAUUUGGGGAAAGAGCAACCAGGGAUUUGCUCUUCUGCAGGGGAGAAUGGGCAGAGACAAACUACUCGCCAUCACGGUGGAAAAGCAGCUUGUUUUUAAGCACCCAGUGCGCUCCUCAGCUGGGGACGUGCGGACAGAGACCCCAACCAUUCCAAAACCAAAGCGAGAAAGGGGAAGCGCAGCAAGAAGCGGCUGUCGGACCCUGGGGAGAGCCUCAGCCCUCCGGCACGCAGCUCCCUCAGGCUGGCUUCUGCAACCCAGCAGUCUCUGAGUCCCAGAGGAAGACACUACAGAGCACCCUGUGUCUGACACACAACACCCCCAUGCAAAGCCCUACACCAGAACCUUUGCGCCACCGCCUGCCGUCAGACAAGACGGAAACUCCUCUGAAGGCCCCGUGCGCACACAGCCACGCUGACCUGCCCUCGCCGGCACCGUGGCACACGUGUGCCAUUGCACGCAGCCGGAUGCCCGGCGGGUGCAGGGGGCCACGCUCCGCCUGGAGCACAGCACCGCACGCCUAUCCCCGGUCUGCCGGCGCCGGGGCCGCACGAGUGCCUGAUGGGCAGCGACCUGCCACCCGGCUGCCCCGCGUGCCGAGCUCCCCUCCAGCCACCCGGUCCGGCAGCCGCGCGUCCUGCUCCUGCAGACCAAAACUUUUACUUGGACACUACUUAUUUACUUUUCCAGCUGGCAGGCCAGGCUGAGCCAGCAGCGUGCCCUCGUGGCCAAGAAGGCCAACGGCAUCCUGGGGUGCAUGGAGAAGAGCAUGGCCAGCAGGUCCAGGGAGGUUCUCCUCCCCCUCCACUCUGCCCUGCUGAGGCCGCAUCUGGAGUUCUGUGUCCAGGUCUGGGCUCCCCAGGUCAAGACCAACAGGGAACUACUGGGGAGAGUCCAGCGGAGGGCUGCGAGGAUGAGGAGGGGCCUGGAGCAUCUCUGCUGUGAGGAAAGGCUGAGAGAGCUGGGGCUGCUCAGCCUGGAGAAGAGAAGCCCGAGAGGGGAUCUGAUCAACACUUAUCAAUAUCUAAAGGGUGGGUGUCAAGAGGAAGGGGCCAGACUCUUCUCAGUGGUGCCCA